CACUGAUCAGUUGAAGCGUGACUUCCUUUAGAGAGCCCUUCCAGAACUCCAAAAUCUAGAUUGUCAAUUUAUGUAUUCCUUAAACUAUUCCUUUAUCCAAAUUUAUUGUUAGUUGAAUAUAGUGUUUAUUUCAUAAAACUCCCCAUAUUUCUACUUAUAGUCUCUUAUUCCUGAUUAUUUUUUAUGUUCCCACCAUACUUACUUGUGAGAGGCUGUACUACUGACAUACAUUCUACAUUUAUUUUUGUUAAAAGCUCCCCAUGGUAGUAUUACUUUUGUUACAAUGACUUCAGGGAGACUCCAAUAAGGGAAAAAAAAAAACCUAUUAUUCCCAUAGCUACUAUUUCUGGAGCUCUUCACUUCUUUAUCUAGAUCAAUUUAUACUUUGAUAUUAAUCUUCUGCCUGAAGAACUUCCUUUAAUAUUUCUCAUAUGCAGGUUUGAAGUCUCAUUCACUUUGAUUUUCAAAAUACGUUUUUGCUGGGUAUAGAAUUCUAAGUUGAUGGAUUUAAAUUAUUUUUUUAAUACCUAAAUGUUGCUCCAUUGUGCUUUUACUUGUUUCAUGUGAGAAAUUUGCUAUUGGGUAUAUAAUGUGUCAUUUUUCUCUGGCUGGUUUUAAGCAAUAGAUCAUAGUGUGCUUUCAUGUAGUUUUGUUUGUGUCAUUUGUGCUUACACUACAUUGAGCUGCAUGCAUCUGUAGGUUUAUAGUUUCAUCAAAUUUUGGCCAUGAUUUGAAUUAUUUUUGGUAUACUUUCCUUGGGAACUCCAAUUGCAUUUAUCUGAGAUGGCUUCAUGUGUUCCAGAGUUAAUUGUUAUUUUUCAAAUUAAUUUUCCUAUUCAUGUUUCAUUUUGAAUAGUUUGCCUUGCUAUGCUUGAACUUCACUAAUCCUUUGUUCUGUGGUGUCCAAUUAGCCAUAAUUUAUAUAUUCAUCAUCUUAUACCUUGUAGGUUUUUUUUCCUUCAUAAGUUGGAUUCAGAUCUUUAUCUUUGCUGUCUCUACUUAAGUUUUUUGAAUGUAGGCAAUACAGUUUAUAACACUUUUUAAUGCCUAUGGUAAUUCUAUAUUCUUAUUAGUUCUGGGUUGGUUUUUAUUGGUUUGCAGACUCCUAUUGGAUGUAUUUUUCCCACUCCUUUGUAUCACUUGUAAUUUUGAUUAUGUGCUGGGCAUUUUAAAUCUUACUAUAUUAGAUGAUUAAUAUUUUUGUAUUCUUGAACUUUGUUCUAGGACACAGUUAAAGUUAAAUAGAAACCUUUGUUUCCCUUCAAGAUUUGCUUUUAAUAUUGCUUGGUAGUAUUCAAAAAGUAUUUGAUACAAGGUUAAUUACUGAGGCUAGACUCUCCUGAAUAUUCUAAUAGGUGCCUUAUGAGUUAUGAAAUUUUCUACUCUGGUUUGAGAACAGACACUGAUUCUGUUCUUAGAUGAGUGUGUUUCUUCUAAUUCUUUGGGGGAAAUUCCUUCCCCAGCCUUGUAUAGUUUUUUCAAACCUAUACGCUAAUCAGUACU
rnacentral:lncRNA from 1 species